CCUACGGGAGGCAGCAGUGGGGAAUAUUGCUCAAUGGGCGCAACCCUGAUGCAGCGACGCCGCGUGAGUGAAGAAGUAUUUCGGUAUGUAAAGCUCUAUCAGCAGGGAAGAAGAAAGCCGGUACCUGACUAAGAAGCCCCUGCUAACGACGGGCCAGCAGCCGCGGUAAUACGUAGGGGGCACGCGUUAACCGGAUUUACUGGGGGUAAAGGGAGCGUAGACGGCUGUGCAAGUCUGAAGGGAAAGCCCAGGGCUUAACCCUGGGAGUGCUUUGGAAACUGUGGAGCUAGAGUGCUGGAGAGGUAAGUGGAAUGCCUAGUGUAGCGGUGAAAUGCGUAGAUAUUAGGAGGAACACCAGUGGCGAAGGCGGCUUACUGGACAGUAACUGACGUUGAGGCUCGAAAGCGUGGGGAGCAAACAGGAUUAGAUACCCCUGUAGUC
rnacentral:rRNA from 1 species